rnacentral:rRNA from 1 species
UACGUAGGGUGCAAGCGUUAAUCGGAAUUACUGGGCGUAAAGCGUGCGCAGGCGGUUCUAUAAGACAGAUGGGAAAUCCCCGGGCUCAACCUGGGAACUGCAUUUGUGACUGUAGAGCUGGAGUACGGCAGAGGGGGAUGGAAUUCCGCGUGUAGCAGUGAAAUGCGUAGAUAUGCGGAGGAACACCGAUGGCGAAGGCGAGUUUCUGGACGGUAACUGACGCUGAGGCACGAAGGCCAGGGGAGCAAACGGG